CUACUCACUUUGGCAGCACAUAUGUUAAAAUUGGAAAGAUACAGAGCAGAUCAGCAUGGCCCCUGCACAAUGAUGACAUGAAAAUUCGUGAAGCAUUCCAUAUUUUU
ensembl:snRNA U6 U6 spliceosomal RNA